rnacentral:lncRNA from 1 species
AUAAAAAUCACUUAAAAAUAGUAAUAGGCAUAUACGACGUGGAAAAAAACCAAGAAUGAACAGGAAGUCUAUGUUUGGCUAAUUCACUUAACAUCAAGGAAAACAUAAUCCCUUUGCUCCCCAACAGGCCCCUAUGGUGGCAUCUUAAAAAAAAAAAAAAAAGGAAACCAAAACUAUUAAAAUAUUCCUACACAUUUUCAAAAACACAUGAGAAACACAAUAUUGAAGCACUUAUCCUGCUGUCUCCUUUUUUAUUAUAAUACAAGUAACAGAAAGGAAAACUUGAGUACUUUAUGUUUCUACUCCAUGACAUUCUUGUUACUUUUAUAUUAGAAACUUCACCCUUCUCCACAUUUUCGGGAGUUGGCAAUGUGGAAACCUCAAAGAUACUAGCUCUUUCAGUUUAUUACCAUAGAUAUAAUUAUUGGGCAUAGAUGUACUUGUAUCUGUGAAAAGAGACCCAGAGAAUUGCUAUCGUGAAACAGCCAGCUAAAAUGAAAAUAUAGUUGGAAUUCUGUGCUCUGCAAAGUGGGUCAUAAUUUUAUUUCACUCUAUCUCCCUAAGAAAAUUCAUGAAAGUCAGUUUGGAUGUUUCAUUCAGUUAUUUGACAGUAAAGAUGAAAACUACAUCCAGAAAUGAAGAAUGGGACACCAAAUCUCAGAAAUCUGUUCUACAGGAAAGUUAUUCCCAAGUAUAUUCCUGUCAAAAUUCGACUUCAUUACUUCUCAAUAAGACAGAGGUCUUCCUUCUACACUAAUUCUAAGUGUUUCCUUAAAUUUUAGGUACACUUCACUAGUUUAAAAUGACCAACUAUUCCGGAAAUUUGUAUAAACAAGUUAAAG